rnacentral:rRNA from 1 species
AGAGUUUGAUCCUGGCUCAGAACGAACGCUGGCGGCGUGGAUAAGACAUGCAAGUCGAACGUGAGAAUUGCUAGCUUGCUAAUAAUUCUCUAGUGGCGCACGGGUGAGUAACACGUGAGUAACCUGCCCCCGAGAGCGGGAUAGCCCUGGGAAACUGGGAUUAAUACCGCAUAGUAUCGAAAGAUUAAAGCAGCAAUGCGCUUGGGGAUGGGCUCGCGGCCUAUUAGUUAGUUGGUGAGGUAACGGCUCACCAAGGCGAUGACGGGUAGCCGGUCUGAGAGGAUGUCCGGCCACACUGGAACUGAGACACGGUCCAGACACCUACGGGUGGCAGCAGUCGAGAAUCAUUCACAAUGGGGGAAACCCUGAUGGUGCGACGCCGCGUGGGGGAAUGAAGGUCUUCGGAUUGUAAACCCCUGUCAUGUGGGAGCAAAUUAAAAAGAUAGUACCACAAGAGGAAGAGACGGCUAACUCUGUGCCAGCAGCCGCGGUAAUACAGAGGUCUCAAGCGUUGUUCGGAAUCACUGGGCGUAAAGCGUGCGUAGGCUGUUUCGUAAGUCGUGUGUGAAAGGCGCGGGCUCAACCCGCGGACGGCACAUGAUACUGCGAGACUAGAGUAAUGGAGGGGGAACCGGAAUUCUCGGUGUAGCAGUGAAAUGCGUAGAUAUCGAGAGGAACACUCGUGGCGAAGGCGGGUUCCUGGACAUUAACUGACGCUGAGGCACGAAGGCCAGGGGAGCGAAAGGGAUUAGAUACCCCUGUAGUCCUGGCAGUAAACGGUGCACGCUUGGUGUGCGGGGAAUCGACCCCCUGCGUGCCGGAGCUAACGCGUUAAGCGUGCCGCCUGGGGAGUACGGUCGCAAGAUUAAAACUCAAAGAAAUUGACGGGGACCCGCACAAGCGGUGGAGUAUGUGGCUUAAUUCGAUGCAACGCGAAGAACCUUACCUGGGCUUGACAUGUAAUGAACAACAUGUGAAAGCAUGCGACUCUUCGGAGGCGUUACACAGGUGCUGCAUGGCCGUCGUCAGCUCGUGUCGUGAGAUGUUUGGUUAAGUCCAGCAACGAGCGCAACCCCUGUUGCCAGUUACCAGCACGUGAAGGUGGGGACUCUGGCGAGACUGCCCAGAUCAACUGGGAGGAAGGUGGGGACGACGUCAGGUCAGUAUGGCCCUUAUGCCCAGGGCUGCACACGUACUACAAUACCCAGUACAGAGGGGGCCGAAGCCGCGAGGCGGAGGAAAUCCUAAAAACUGGGCCCAGUUCGGACUGUAGGCUGCAACCCGCCUACACGAAGCCGGAAUCGCUAGUAAUGGCGCAUCAGCUACGGCGCCGUGAAUACGUUCCCGGGUCUUGCACUCACCGCCCGUCA